rnacentral:rRNA from 1 species
UACGGGGGGGGCAAGCGGUUGUUCGGAAUUACUGGGCGUAAAGGGCGCGUAGGCGGCGCGGUAAGUCACUUGUGAAAUCUCUGAGCUUAACUCAGAACGGCCAAGUGAUACUGCAGUGCUAGAGUGUGGAAGGGGCAAUCGGAAUUCUUGGUGUAGCGGUGAAAAUGCGUAGAUAUCAAGAGGAACACCUGAGGUGAAGACGGGUUGCUGGGCCAACACUGACGCUGAUGCACGAAAGCCAGGGGAGCAAACGGG